CUCCACCGUCUCGCCGAGUGCCAGCAAGAGUCAUGAGUACUUGUUAACUCGACUCCUCAACUGGAGAUAACUUUCUAGCACCUCACCAUGGGGAAGGACGCAUUCAUAUGCCUUCACCAGCACCUGCAUUAAACAUGCAGAGAGUUACACAAGGAACGGCAGUCCCUCCUCGACUCCCUCCACCCCCUCACCAGCAGCCCUCAACAUGUGGCAGACAGAGGAGCCUGGAUCCAGCCUGGCCUACAGGCCAACAUGGCGAGGGGGAAGAAUGGCCGACAACAUUUCCUGCUCUGCGCCUGAGGUAAUCCACAUCCUUAGCCUGCUGGAAACUAUUAAGCACAACCAAGACCAGCUGAUUGCGAAGGUGCUGUGAGUAAAAAUGUGUUGACAAGGUCAGCCACGGACGCUGAGGUCACCAAACACGCCAUCAGGUUGGCGGGGGAUCGGGCAACGAGGAGACGAGUCCCGC